AAGAUCAACUUAUGAUUUCUUUUUAUAUUUUAUGGUUGAACAGGGUUAUGAACCAAUGUUUGGAACAUCUUCAAGUGCACAUCAGGUUAAGUAUCAAUAUAACAUGAUUGUUGUAAUCGAGACUUAUCUGAUUUUUAAAUAAUUUGAGUAAUUGUUAUUUUGUUUUCAAUUAGGUGCAUUCCACAAAUAAAAAUCCCUUAGUUGUGAAGUGCAAACUGUUUCGUAUGGACGAAGAAGACAUUGUAGCUGAAGGUGUUUGGCUGUCAGAUAAUCCAGAUAUGGAAGCGCAGGGGAUUAAACUUGGGUCAGGUGCAUCUAAGGUUGUGGUGGAACAUGUUAUCGAAUCUACAGCAAGAUUAUGGAAACCUUGCAAUGGUAUGAAAAUAUUGGAAGAUGCUAU
rnacentral:lncRNA from 1 species